rnacentral:rRNA from 1 species
AACGUAGGUGGCGAGCGUUAUCCGGAUUUACUGGGCGUAAAGCGUGUGCAGGCGGGGCUCCCAGUGGGGUAUGAAAUUUCCCAGCUUAACUGGGAGAGGUUAUGCCAGACUGGAGUUCUAGAGUGCGAGAGAGGGGCGUGGAAUUCCGGGUGUAGUGGUGAAAUGCGUAGAGAUCCGGAGGAACCCCAGAGGCGAAGGCGGCGCCCUGGCUCGCAACUGACGCUCAGACACGACAGCAUGGGGAGCGAACAGG